UUAUGGGGGGGAGUAUAACCUCGGGAACUGAGGAUAAUGCACCAUAAUUGAAACUGCCUAGAAUGGUUUUUCAAUGAAAGAGUAGCCUAAAUGGAGGUUAUUUUACCUUAGGAUAGGAUCGCGCCCGAUUAUGGCUGUUGGUGAGGUAACGGCUCACCAAACCUAUUAUCGGUAAGGGCCGUGAGAGCGGGAGCCCUGAGUUGGGUACUGAGACAAUGACCCAGGUCUUACGAGACGCAGCAGGCGCGAAACCUUGACAAUACACGAAAGUGUGAUCAGGUUACCCGGAGUGCUACAAUGUAGCUGUGGCAAGUGAGUUCGAUUCCUUGCUAGAAAGGAGAGGGCAAGGCUGGUGCCAGCCGCCGCGGUAAAACCAGCUCUUCAAGUGGUCGGGACGAUUAUUGGGCUUAAAGUGUCCGUAGCCGGUAUAGUAAGUUCCUGGUUAAAUCGGAUGGCUCAACUAUCUGUUGAUUAGGAAUACUGCUAUACUAGGGGGCGGGAGAGGUUUGAGGUACUCCAGGGGUAGGGGUGAAAUCCUAUAAUCCUUGGGGGACCACCAGUGGCGAAGGCGUCAGACUGGAACGCGCUCGACGGUGAGGGACGAAAGCCAGGGGAGCGAACCGGAUUAGAUACCCGGGUAGUCCUGGCUGUAAACGAUGCGUGCUAGGUGUUGGUAUGGCCUUGAGCCGUAUCAGUGCCGUAGGGAAACCGAUAAGCGCGCCGCCUGGGGAGUAUGGUCGCAAGACUGAAACUUAAAGGAAUUGGCGGGGGAGCAC
rnacentral:rRNA from 1 species